UUGGCCUCCCAGAGUGCUAGGAUCAUAGGUAUGAGCCACCUCACCUGGCUCUAAGCAGCUUUUUAAAGUGAUCAUCAUAUAUUUGGGAACAGGAGUGACUGGGGAAAAAAAAGUGUCUGCUUGUAUUCAGAAGACACUUGAAAUAUGGGAAGCAUACCUCAUUUUAUGUUUAGUUUUGAGGUAUUUAAGUCUAGUGAAAUGGAUACAAUUAUUUUUAUCAAGUACUUUAGAAAGGAUUGGUGUUACUUCAGGUGAGUAAGAUCCAUACAGUUAGGAGUAGUAUGAAAUGAUGCCGAAUGUUUUCUUCCUAACAUUAAAAAUAGUGUUGAUCAAAGUAUGUAAUAGUGUAAAAUAAUAUGGUAAUAUUAAAGAGUGAGAAAAAUGGCCUUAUAGGUGAGUAAUGGAAGCUUUCCUUUAGAAGUGUUGAAAUUAGAUCAGAUGAAAGACCAGAGAUAAAACUGUUGUGUACUGUUAAGGAAUGAUGUUGGCUCUAUUAACCAGCGAGUUUCUAACUCUGGCUUCCCAUCACAUCCUCUCAGGGAGCCCCAGAUAUCUAUCCUUUUGGAGUUCUCAGGGGUUGAGAGUUAAGCUGUGAUUUUAUGGUAAACAUUCUGCAAGUGAGCCUCUUCUACAGCUGUAAAUUGAAGGUGGUCUCAGAGCUUUUAUGUCUUCUGCUUAGAGUCUAUAGCCUUAGACUAUAUUACUCAUAGAUACAUGUAUCUCUUGGUCUACUGGUAAUCUUUGCAAGAUGUUGAAGUUUGAGUAAAUCAUAUUGUUUAAUAAUCUAUUUUUGUUUUCUAUAUAUAAAAUUAUAUUUUUGUCCUCUGCAGAAACGUGAAUCCCCAGACUGAAUCCUUUAAAGGACCUGUACUACAUAGUAGACACUGGUAGAAGGAAUUAUACCCAGUCAGCUUGAAGAGUCUCAAAUGGACCUUACCACUGAGAAAUCAAGAUGGCAGUCCACUAUGGGGAAUUGAGGAAAUGGAUUUAUACAAGAGUCCUGUGAUAAUACUCAACCCAAGACAGGGUUCUUUUAACAUGGAUUCCAUGAAAUGAAUGAAGAUAUAGGUUUCUUACCCAACACAAAUGGACAGUGGAUUUGACUUUCUAAAGACUUUUUUGUAUCAUUAAAACAAGCACAUUUUUGACAUUUGGAGAAGAAAGAAGGCACAUUAACAGACAAUAGUUUAUAUGUCUGAAAUUUUUUUUGCAGUUGAAUUUGUAUGAGUACAACCUUGUGGAAUGUUAACUUUAAUAAAAUUUAUAACACUU